UGUACGAGACUCACCACACAGACAACGCUGACCACAACUUAGGUCAGUUCUAUUUACUUCCAGUCGUUCUUGUCGUCGUCUCACAUGGCUGAGACGCCCUGGAUCCGGUCGACCUUCAUGUCGAGCAUCCUGAGUCCGCCUGGCCACCCACUCCCCUUUAAAGGUGUGCAGGAGCGGCGACACACACGGCGCUUCUUCCGGCUCAGAACCGCAGCCCAAGGCCCCUGAAGAACAUGGCGGCGCCUAGAGCCGCCUUGCGCGCCUGCGCGCUCGCGUUCGCCUGGCGAAGGUCUCGCCGAAAUUCACCUGGCACAAUUCAGUAUUCUCAUCAAUGGAGAGGCUGCUCGAGGGGGUUGCCUCCUUUUAUUUCAAGGCCUCUGGCUGGCAGAGAUUUUGACGUGGGCCGUGUUAGGCAAGGGAUAGUGGCGCUGGUGGACAUAACUGGGGACAGCAUAGUCUUAACGCUUCACGACACUUCCAGGUGCACACACACGUGCGCGUGCACACACACACACACACACACACACACACACACACGGAGGUGGGAACAGCUUACUUGCCCAUUAGGGGACGUACUCUGGUCGCCAACAUUCUCGCCGCUGCCCCCCACCCCACCUCCCUUCUAGCCGCCAGCAAAGCCCAUCUUCCUUGCUUCCUCUGUGCAGCCCGGAGACUGCGAUUACUUUAGACCUGGAACCAGGAAGUGCGGCAUUAAAACUAGAGUAACGGGGAAGCAUCAUAGAGGGGUCAGCCAGUUGAGCAUCCGACUCUUGAUUUUGGCGGAGGUCAUGAUCCCAGGAUGGUGGAAUCAAGACCUGCAUUUGGUUUGGCAUUGUGCGUGGAGCCUGCUUAAGAUUCUCACCCGCCACCACCACCCCGCUGCCGCCCCAUCUCUGCUCCUUUCCGCUGCUCAUGCUCGCUCUCCAAAAAAAAAAAAAAAAAAAAAUUGUUCUUUUUCAACUUCUUCACUUGACAGGAAAAAAAGAGGCAUAGCCAUAUAACAUGUUUUGGCCAAAGAAAUGUGAAUGGAAGCUUUUAAAGUCAGUGGAUGGUGUUCCUCAUCCCCUUCCCUGUUGUACAGUCUUUGUGGAAGUCUACGUGGAGAUGGAGCCCUUGUUCACCAGAGUCCCAGGGUUACUAUGAUAAGUAGAAGUCCUUUGCCAACCUACAUCAAACGUGGUGUGAACAAGAAAUACAUCUUUGUCUGUUUAAGCCAUUAAUAGUUUGGGGUUUUGUUACCACGGCAAAACCUAGCCUAGCUGAUAUACUUACCAAAAAUAAACCAAUAAGCUGUUAAA